UCUCUGAUGGUCUAGUGGUCAGGAUUUGGUGCUCUCACUGCCGUGGCCCGAGUUUGAUUCCCGGUCAGGGAA
rnacentral:tRNA from 1 species